rnacentral:rRNA from 1 species
AGGAGACGUUGAAUACAAAACACCACCAUCGGCGCGGUCGUCCUUGGCGUUCGUGUUCACGCACGGGCGCGAGGGCGGCUUAGCCCGAUGGCACCGGUGAAU